rnacentral:rRNA from 1 species
UACAGAGGGUGCAAGCGUUAUCCGGAUUCACUGGGUUUAAAGGGUGCGUAGGUGGGCAGGUAAGUCAGUGGUGAAAUCCCCGAGCUUAACUUGGGAACUGCCGUUGAUACUAUCUGUCUUGAAUGUCGUGGAGGUAAGCGGAAUAUGUCAUGUAGCGGUGAAAUGCUUAGAUAUGACAUAGAACACCAAUUGCGAAGGCAGCUUGCUACACGAUGAUUGACACUGAUGCACGAAAGCGUGGGGAUCAAACAGG